AUACGGAGGAUCCGAGCGUUAUCCGGAUUUAUUGGGUUUAAAGGGUGCGUAGGCGGAUUUUUAAGUCAGCUGUGAAAUUUCGGCGCUCAACGUCGGCACUGCAGUUGAAACUGGAAGUCUUGAGAGUGCAAGAGGCACGCGGAAUUCAUGGUGUAGCGGUGAAAUGCAUAGAUAUCAUGAAGAACCCCGAUUGCGAAAGCAGCGUGCUGGGGCAUAUCUGACGCUGAGUCACGAAAGUGCGGGUAUCAAACAGGAUUAGAUACCCUGGUAGUCCGCACAGUAAACGAUGAAUACUAGCUGUUGGCGAUAGACAGUCAGCGGCGCAAGCGAAAGCGUUAAGUAUUCCACCUGGGGAGUACGCCGGCAACGGUGAA
rnacentral:rRNA from 1 species